UACGGAGGAUGCAAGCGUUAUCCGGAAUGAUUGGGCGUAAAGCGUCCGCAGGUGGCGAUGUAAGUCUGCUGUUAAAGAGUGAGGCUCAACCUCAUAAGAGCAGUGGAAACUACAUGGCUAGAGUGCGUUCGGGGCAGAGGGAAUUCCUGGUGUAGCGGUGAAAUGCGUAGAGAUCGGGAGGAACACCCGUAGCGAAGGCGGCCGACUGGACCACACCUGACGCUGAGGCGCGAAGGCCAGGGGAGCGAACGGG
rnacentral:rRNA from 1 species